rnacentral:rRNA from 1 species
CCCGGCCGGCCGGACCGGCGCGACGGGUGAACGUAACACGUAUGACCAACCGUCGGGCCGUGACAGAGUGGAUACCGGGAGAAAUCCCGCCUAAUACAGCAUGACGCCGGGAAGGGACAUCCCUUUCCGGCCAAAGGGGGCGACUCCGGUCACGGAUGGGCAUGCGGCGCAUUAGGUAGUUGGUGGGGCAACGGCCCACCAAGCCGACGAUGCGUAGGGGUUCUGAGAGGAAGGUCCCCCACAUUGGAACUGAGACACGGUCCAAACUCCUACGGGAGGCAGCAG